GCAAACUUGGUCAUUUAGAGGAAGUAAAAGUCGUAACAAGGUUUCCGUAGGUGAACCUGCGGAAGGAUCAUUAACGAAUCAACAACGUCGGUCGAUGGUGCUGGCAGUUCAUGCAUGUGCACGUCGGUCGCAAAAUCCACACACCUGUGCACCUAUGGUCUUUUGAUGGUUCGCUCGACUUUGGUUAGGGCUCGAGCCGUCGAGGGCUAUUUUUUUACACACACUCUGUAUGCUAUGGGAUGUUGUCCGAUGCUCUUGAGCGUCGAAAAAAUAUGUACAACUUUCAACAACGGAUCUCUUGGCUCUCGCAUCGAUGAAGAACGCAGC
rnacentral:misc_RNA from 1 species